GAACGAAAAAGGUUGAUAGUUCGAUACGCCUUGCCCGAAUCAAACAGAAAAGUGAGGUAUUCCAGAAUUAGAUGGAGAGGGGCAGAUACGGGAUCCACUGCCCCUUCCAUGCACCAACUAGACCAUGAGCCCCAUGAAGAGCGGUAUGCCGAUCGCGUACCUGGAGCCCAAGCGUUAUCGAGGAGUUGCAGAGUCGUCCGCGAAACGUUCGGGACAACCCAGGUACCCCUGAAAGGAGCCACGCUAUCAGAGGUAGCUGAUGUCGAAGCACCAGCUCGUGCGAGUUCCCAUCCGGGUCUAGGAGAAGAUCCUGGAAGCUCGGAAUCAGUCUGGGGUAGUCUAUC